rnacentral:rRNA from 1 species
AACGAACGCUGGCGGCAGGCUUAACACAUGCAAGUCGAACGCUCGUAGCAAUACGGGAGUGGCGGACGGGUGAGUAACGCGUGGGAACGUGCCCUGAGGUACGGAAUAACUGCGGGAAACUGCAGCUAAUACCGUAUGAGCCCCGUGAGGGGGAAAGAUUUAUCGCCUUAGGAGCGGCCCGCGUCGGAUUAGCUAGUUGGUGGGGUAACGGCUUACCAAGGCUUCGAUCCGUAGCUGGUCUGAGAGGACGAUCAGCCACACUGGGACUGAGACACGGCCCAGACUCCUACGGGAGGCAGCAGUGGGGAAUCUUGCGCAAUGGGGGCAACCCUGACGCAGCCAUGCCGCGUGAAUGAUGAAGGCCUUAGGGUUGUAAAGUUCUUUUGCCCGUGACGAUGAUGACGGUAACGGGAGAAUAAGCUCCGGCUAACUUCGUGCCAGCAGCCGCGGGUAAUGUGACGCUCU